GACUGAACCAGGCAGCUGCUUCUAGUUCUCUCAAGUUCACCUGGAUCUGAAAGACAUAAGGAAAAACAGGAUAUAAGCUACACCCUGAAAGAGAGAAGGAAAGCCUGACAGGAGCCAUGAGCCUCUAGCAAACCAGUUCCCAAAUGCAGGUCUGAAGACCCAGAGCUACUCCAAGGCUGACACAGUUAAGCAGUGGUAUGCCUUCUUCAUCCUUUAUCCCCGUCUGCUUGGAAGACUCUGGAAUGGCAGAGCCAUUAGAUGGAAGAGCCUGGAUCCCUGAAUCACUACAUGGAGAAAAGCCACCCACCAACCAAAGAGUCCCCACCUUGGACUACUUGUGAGAGAGAGAUAAGCUUCUACCAUAUUAAGCCACUGAAAUUUUGAAGUUUUUUACAGCAGCUAGCACUACCCUAAUAGACCAAGUAAGCCUAGGAGUGUCUCCAGAGUAAUGGAGCCAAGUUCCUCAGAAUACAUGAAAAGCAAAGUCCUUUUGAAAAUGAAGUAAGAAGAAUCCUGUAGAUAAGAAAAAUAUAAAAUUACAGGCAUUUAGGAAAACAUUUCAAAAGGCAGCUAUGCAAACCCACAUGGAUCUAAGAUACUUUUUAGAUCUCACUGUGAGAGGAAAAAUAAUUCUAUAACUUAAGAAUCCAUUCUGCAGAAGGUGAUUUCUUUUAAAUUGUAUAACAGUAAGUGUUUUAUCCUCCCUGAAAAGUACAGUUCACACUAGCAAUAAAAAAGUCAAAGAAGUUCCAAUGAAACAAGAAAAUCAGUACAAUUAAAUAACCAACCACCCUUUUAACUGUGCCCAAGGGAAGCAAGCUUUGACACUAAACCACCAAGGAAUGUCUAAAGUUUAGGCCUACUUCUUGGUUGCAUAAUUAUGAAUCACUGAUGCCUAAUACUUGGACAGUUUUGGCUAUAAUCUAUGUCCUAACCAAGGAUAAAAUAUAUUUAGUAAGUGACAUUCAACAAAAUAUUUAUUGAGUACUGACUUUAUGCAAGCUCUCUUAAGGGACACAAUAAUGUAUAGGAUAAACAUCCCUCAAGGGACUCUAGCAGGAUAGAGAAAAUAAAUAUAUAGCUUUCACAGAAGGCGGUAUGUGAUAUGUGGGUUAUAAAGCACUCUAGGAGAAUAUUAAAAGUAUAAUCCUUAUUUUAAUAACCCAAAGACUUCUGUGAUAUACUGGAGGAAAUGAAUUUAAAGUCAACAUUUCUGUCUCAUAUACAACUCUGAGAGUGUAAAUUGAUAUGCUAUUUUUGGAUGGCAAUUUGGAAAUAUCUAUCAAAACGUGAAAAUAAGCAUCCCUUUCCCCUAGCAAUUCCACUUCUAGGAAUUUAUCCUAGGAAGAAAAGGAUAUGUACAGGAAUGUUAACUGAAAAUUAUGAUAAAUGGAAAAAUACACAGCUAUUAAAAAUAAACAGAUAACAGUAGAAAAAAUAUAUGUAGUAACAGGGAAAGAUAUUCAGAAUAUAUUAUUAAGUAAGAAAAGCAAGUAGUAUUUGGUUAGUUUAGCAUGAUCUAAUUAAUUUAUAAAGAAAAGGAUAUAUACAUAUACAUACCAAUAUAAUUAAUUGGAUAUAUAUUUAUUUAUAUUUUUUGAAUGACUAGAAGUCCACAUACCAGAGUGUUAACAGUGACUAAUUUGAAAGAGUGGGAUGGACACAGGGGUUGAAAAGGGUACUUGUAAUUUUUACAUUUCUGUACUUAAAAAAAAUUUUUAACCAUGUGUUCAUAUUUCUUGUACAAUAAGAUAGCAUGUAAUAAAACAGUAGUUCCCAGGACUAACUGCACUGUGAGGCUUUUCCCAGGCCAUUGUUCGCAGUAGCACUUCAUCUCAUUCCCUGAGAACCGUAGGGAAUUUCUUUGGUGAGUUCCUUGAAUUCCUUUGGUGAGACUGUAAGAGUUGUUUGUAGUAUGACUACCAACUAAUCUGUGUGGCCCACUGUGCUUCGCUGCCUGACGUUUUGCCUAAAUGCAAUGCCUACUAAAUUAACCUUAGCCAAUUGUGGAUUAUCAUGUCCUGCUGACUCAUAUGUUGGUGGUCACCGAGCUUGUAGAAGACAUAGUAAAGUUCCUAAUGUAGCUUAAAAAAAAUUGAUAAUCAAGAGGAAAACCAAAUAUAUUUUAACUGAGAAUUGUAUCUUCAUUGGUACAGUCAUAAACUCAGUAAAGAUUAAGUCUAAUACCUUUUCUAAAUGGUCCCUUGUUUAUUUUUUAUACACACCUUAUAUAAAAGCAGUGUAGACUACUUAAAAGUCAAAGAAGAGAAAAUGAUUUCCUUAAAAUUCAGCUUUAACCAUAUUUUUCUCUUUCAAAUAGAUCAUUUAAAUUAUCAAGUUAAUAUAACUAUAUUACAGGACAUCUAGAAAACAGAAUUGUAAGAGUGCCCAUAAUAUCACCCCAUUAAUAUAACUCAUAAUUUAUAUACUAGUCUUUUGCACAUACAACCUUUACACAUUUAUAAUCAGUAAACGGGCUUCCCUGGUGGCGUAGUGGUUGAGAAUCUGCCUGCCAAUGCAGGGACACGGGUUCGGGCCCUGGUCUGGGAAGAUCCCACAUGCCGCGGAGCAACUAAGCCCGUGAGCCACAACUACUGAGCCUGCGCGUCUGGAGCUUGUGCUCCGCAACGAGAGGCCCCGACGGUGAGAGGCCCGCGCACUGCAACUAGAGAAAGCCCUCGCACAGAAACGAAGACCCAACACAGCCAAAAAUUAAAUAAAUAAAAAUUUAUAAUCAGUAAACAUUUUUUCAAUUUGCUUUCAUGAAACAUGUCAUAAGCAGUUUUCCAUGUUUUUGUAUAAGCUUUACUUAUUGAUUUUUUUUGACUGCAUAAUAUUAUACCAAGUAGACUCCCAUCCUUAUUUUUCUAAAUAUUCCCCUAAUUUUAGACAUUUAGGUGGCUCUGAUUUUAAAUUACCAGAAAUAAAAUACUGCUAAAUACUUCUGUGCUGAUAUUUUCAGGUUACCUCUUUAAGAUAAGUUCCCCUACAUAGAACUACUGGGACAAAAUUUGUUUUAAAAUUAUAUGGCUCUUUCUACACAUUGCCACACUUACAAAGUUUGAUAGCAUUUGGUUAAAAAAGAAAAGAACUUUUAUAUUUCUUUGAUCACUAUUGAGAUUCAAAGUGUUUUCAGAUUUAAUAGUUCUAGCGCCCCUUUUGUAAAUUGUCUGUUUGAUGUCCUAUGCGCAUUUAUUUAUUGUGGUUUUACUCUACUUUUGACCAUUCUAAU